rnacentral:rRNA from 1 species
AUGAAGAGCAAGGCUGCCAGGGCGGCGAGCGCGGCGUGCAUGCCGCGGCUGACGAGGGGCAGGUGCCGCGCGUCCACGGCGCGGCCGGCCGCGUCGGUGUCGCUGCUCGAGCGCAUCCGCGACGUCGUGCUCCGCCUCAUCAUGCUCACCGCGGUCUCCAAGGCCUCUGUGCGGCGCAGCAGCAGCAGCAGGAACUCCUCGCCGCGCGCCGGUGCUGCCGGGGCCGUGACGUGCCGCCGGGACGACUCCAUAAGGAACGAGGCCGUGGAGGAGUGCAUCGAGUUCCUGAAGCGCUCGUCGGCCGAAGGCGAGGCGGUCAAGCUGUCCAGCGUCACCGCCGAGGCGGUUGCCGCUGCCGUUGCCGCGGAGAACGAUCCGGAGCCGAAGCGCCUGUCCAGCUCCAGCGUCGUGGAUGCCGUAGCUGCCGGCGUCGAGGACACCACACGUUCGGCCUCGCCGUCCAUCGUCUGA